CUACGGGGUGCUGCAGUGAGGAAUAUUGCACAAUGGGGGGAACCCUGAUGCAGCAACGCCGCGUGGAGGAUGACGCAUUUCGGUGUGUAAACUCCUUUUAUAUGUCAAGAAAAUGACGGUAGCAUAUGAAUAAGCACCGGCUAACUCCGUGCCAGCAGCCGCGGUAGUACGGAGGUGUGCAAGCGUUACUCGGAAUCACUGGGCGUAAAGGACGCGUAGGCGGGCUUGUAAGUCAGGUGUGAAAUCCUACAGCUUAACUGUAGAACUGCACUUGAAACUACGAGCCUAGAGUAUGGGAGGGGGAGAUGGAAUUAGUGGUGUAGGGGUAAAAUCCGUAGAUAUCACUAGGAAUACCUAAAGCGAAGGCGAUCUCCUGGAACAUAACUGACGCUAAGGCGUGAAAGCGUGGGGAGCAAACAGGAUUAGAUACCCUGGUAGUC
rnacentral:rRNA from 1 species